rnacentral:rRNA from 1 species
CCUACGGGAGGCUGCAGUGAGGAAUAUUGGUCAAUGGACGAGAGUCUGAACCAGCCAAGUAGCGUGAAGGAUGACUGCCCUAUGGGUUGUAAACUUCUUUUAUAAAGGAAUAAAACGAGGCACGUGUGCCUUUUUGCAUGUACUUUAUGAAUAAGGAUCGGCUAACUCCGUGCCAGCAGCCGCGGUAAUACGGAGGAUCCGAGCGUUAUCCGGAUUUAUUGGGUUUAAAGGGAGCGUAGAUGGGUUGUUAAGUCAGUUGUGAAAGUUUGCGGCUCAACCGUAAAAUUGCAAUUGAUACUGGCAGUCGUGAGUACAGUUGAGGGAGGCGGAAUUCGUGGUGUAGCGGUGAAAUGCUUAGAUAUCACGAAGAACCCCGAUUGCGAAGGCAGCUUACUAAACUGUGACUGACAUUGAUGCUCGAAAGUGUGGGUAUCAAACAGGAUUAGAUACCCGAGUAGUC